rnacentral:rRNA from 1 species
GGGCUCACACAAGUGGUGGAUCAUCUUGUUUAAUUCGAUAAUACGCGCAAAACCUUACCAACCCUUGACAUCUUUUUUUCUUUCCCUUAGGAGGGGGAAGAUUAUUAAAAAGACAGGUGCUGCAUGGCUGUCGGCAGUUCGUGUUGUGAAAUGUCUGGUUAAAUCCUAUAACGGACGCAACCCCUUCGAAAUUUUUCAUUUGCUUUUUCGUAAUGCCCAUGAGAAGUGGGAGGAAGGUGGGGAUCACGUCAAGUCCUCAUGGCCCUUAUGGGUUGGGCUACAAAGGUGAUACAAUGGUAAUUACAAAGGGAUGCAAUGAUGAAAGUCGGAGCAAAUCCUAAAAAAUUAUCCUAGUUCGGAUUGGUCUCUGCAACUCGAGAUCAUGAAGCUGGAAUCACUAGUAAUCGUGGAUC